UAAAAAUCGUUUGCAUAAAUGGGGAUACUCAGAUAACUGGCACUUGGCGAACUUCCUGCAACUGCUACAGCCAGUAAAAAAAUAUGUGAAUUUCUGUUUUAGUGUAUUACAACUUAAAGCUGAAGUUUCCUCAAAAUGCAGAACGGAGAGCAGCAUGGGUAAGAGCUGUUCGAAGAGCAAACUGGAAGCCGACUAAAUUUUCACGAAUUUGUUCUGAACAUUUUUCUGAAGAUCAAAUAGACAGAACUUCAUUAUGCUGUGUAAGACUGAGAGAUUAUGCUGUGCCUAAUAUCUUCAAAGCUUUUCCACCUUACCUGCAAAAGUUGAUAAAAAAUCCACAAAAACCUCCCACAGAAAGUUUUAUUGAGUAUAAAAAUAAAGAGGAGCCUGUAUUAAGUGAAAUGCAAACUAAUGCAACUUCUGCUGAACCUUCUCCAUGCAAGCAAGAACUGAAACGAAAGCUGCACGAAGUUAAAGAAUUAAAUUGUGUCAACAGAAAGAAAAUUAAGUUAUUGCAACAAACUAUACGUAGACAGAAAAAGACUAUCUUCAAUCUGAAAACUUUAUUGAAAGAUUUACAAAAAAGCAGGAUAAUAAAUGAUGAUUAUCUGGACAAUUUUCAGAAAUCGAUUUCUGUUAAUGAAGAAAUCCUUUCGCUGGAAUUAACAAAUUGUCAAAAAAGACCAGUUAUCAAAUUAUUAUCGUAAAGAAAUAAAAGCUUUAACUCUUCACUUUUAUUCACCUAAAGCAUUGUAAAUAUGUUAGAAAAACGUUCAAAUCAUGUUUGCCACACACCAAGACUAGCAAACUGCUACAAAUCUAUAAGUGCUGCACCAGGCUUUACAACUGAAUCUUUGGAUACGUUAGAUAAUAAACUUCAUAUAAAUUGCUUUUUUCAUUGAUUAGUGAUGAAAUGGCCAUGCAUAAACAUGGUGAAUUUGAUGGUCAACUUUAUCACAGUUGCAUUAAUAGAGAUAUUCAGAAUGAUGAUGCUUCUGUUUCAUUAGCUAGAGAGACUAAGUUUAUGUUAUUGUACAUCAAUGGUAACUUUACAAUCCCACUCGGUUACUUUUUAAUUGAUGGUUAUGAUGUUACUUUUUAUUUGAUGGUUUCAGUAUUGAUCUAGAAUUGCUCUGAAAAUAAAUCAACUGCAGUAUUUACAAAAGUGAGUGUUACAUUAUGACAUUUUUAAACCACUGCAUACUGAUUUAUUUAAAUGCAAUUCAAAACACUGUUCAAAUAAUAAGCAAGAAUGUUUAUAAUAUGCCUGAAAAUAUGCAUGUGAAAAAUACUGCAAUGCAUUUUCAAGACUCACUUUUCAAAUUAUGUCACAAACAAGCUUAAUGGUGUUAUUAAAUUUUUCCUGCUUAGAUUUA
rnacentral:misc_RNA from 1 species